rnacentral:rRNA from 1 species
AGAUAAGCCAUGCAAAUGUUAGAUCGAAUUUUUUAACUUUUAAUCUGUUGAUGGCUCAAUACAAGAGUUAUCUACUCUUCGUUUGCCAAGUUUCGACUAAGGAUAACGUAGCCAACAGCAGCGAUAAUACUCGUAAUAAAAUGGGCGCAAAAACGCCUAAAUGAUAGAAUGGAAGUGAGUUCCGUCUAUUAAAACCAAAUUUUUCUGCUUGGAUACCGUUAAAAGUUGAAGAGCAGAAAGUUGGAUGUUGACCGACUGGACACAGAGAGAUGGGAUCCAUCACUUUAAUAGGUGUAGGAUCUAUUUUUCUACAGAUGGCCAAAUGUAUGUGUUUCUUAUCUAUCAGUUUCAGUUGUUUUAUUAAGGCUGAAACAUGGCUAUAACGGAUACGGGGAAUUAGAGUUCGACACCGGAGAGGGCGCUUGAGGAUUGGCGACCACGUCUAAGGAUGGCAGCAGGCGCGAAAAUUGUCCAAUAUUGACAAAAUGAGACAGUGACGAUUAAUAACGACCUUUUAUAUAACUAUGAAAGGGUAUCUUCGGAUUAGUAAUGGUUGUAUGUUAAAAUUCUACAAGAGUAACGAUUGGAGGAAAAGUCUGGUGCCAGCACCCGCGGUAAUUCCAGCUCCAAUAGCGUAUUCUAAAAUUGUUGCAGUUAAAACGCUCGUAGUUUAACUAAGAAUAUGAAUGUGCUUACGGUAAUCUAGCACAGGCUACCUUUAAUGAAUAUUUUGUUAUCGGUUUUCUGUUACCCUCGGGUAAAUUGCUAGGUUAUCUUUAGUUUACACAAACCGUCGUUAUUCACUAACUGAAGGUUUGAAAUAAACGUUUGCACAAUGAAAUAUUCGAAUCCCAACUGUGAGUAAAUCAAAGUGCUCAAAACAAGCUGCACUCGCGUUCGCAUGAAUGGUUUAGCAUGGUAUUGGAAUAAUAUUUCGAAAGAGAUAUUAAAUGGGAAAUAGGUAGAGGGUUUUUGCAUUGUAUUGUUAGAGGUGAAAUUCAGAGAUCAAUACAAGACUUACAAACGCGAAGGCAGUUAUAUCCAUAACAUUUCUGUCAAUCAGGAACGAAAGUUGGGGGAUCGAAGAUGAUUAGAUACCGUCGUAGUCCUAACCGUAAACUAUACCGACAGGAGAUUGGAAGACGAACCCUUUCUCCAGAUCCUUUCAGAAUUCAAGGGAAACCGAAAGUUUUUAGGUUCUGGGGGGAGUAUGGUCGCAAGGCUGAAACUUAAAAGAAUUGACGGAAGAACACAACCAGGAGUGGAGUUUGCGGCUUAAUUCGACUCAACACGGGAAAACUCACCAGGACCGGAUAAACGAGCAGGAUUGACAGGUUGAAGUCCUUUCAUGAUUUCUUAUAUGGUGGUGCAUGGCCGUUCUUAGUACGUGAAUUGAUUUGUCUGGUUAAUUCCGUUAACGUACGAGACCUUAACAUAUUAAUUAGGCAGUUGUUGGUAGUUUACUAUCUAAUGUUUCUUAGGAAACCGGCUUUUGAACUUCGGUUCUUGCUUCUUAAUGGGGACAAUGUUACGUUACAUAAUAUUAGUACAGGGAAGUUUAAGGCAAUAACAGGUCUGGAAUGCCCUUAGAUGUCCUGGGCAGCACGCGUAUUACAAUGUUAGUUUCAACGAGAGAAAGUUUCUGGAUUUAUUCAGGAACACCGAGUUUUUUGGUUUACCAAUUUAAAAUGACAAGGGAAUCUUUUUAAUCACCAACGUGACUGGGAUAGAUGGUUGUAAUAUCGUCUUCAACGAGGAAUUCCUAGUAAGUGCAAGUCACUAACUUGUACUGAUUACGUCCCUGUUCUUUGUACACACCGCCCGUCGCUCCUACCAAUGGAACAGAAAGAUGAAAG